UACGUAGGGUGCGAGCGUUGUCCGGAUUUAUUGGGCGUAAAGAGCUCGUAGGCGGUCAGUCGCGUCUGCUGUGAAAACUCGGGGCUUAACUCCGGGCCUGCAGUGGGUACGGGCUGACUAGAGUGCGGUAGGGGAGACUGGAAUUCCUGGUGUAGCGGUGAAAUGCGCCAGAUAUCAGGAGGAACACCGGUGGCGAAGGCGGGUCUCUGGGCCGAUACUGACGCUGAGGAGCGAAAGCGUGGGGAGCGAACAGG
rnacentral:rRNA from 1 species